AUGGAGAUUCCCAUGGGGACCCAGGGCUGCUUCUCAAAGAGCCUCCUGCUCUCAGGUAAGGAGGAAAUAGACCCUAAAGGCCAAGGGGAGAAAUGGGGACUCAGCCCAGAGAUUGAAGUUUCCUCUUAGAAGUAGGGAAAGAUUACCUGAGAGGAUGAAAUUAGAAUAAGAUGGGGGAGGGGCAACAGAAUCACAGCCUCAUUGCCAUUUUAUCUAUGGAAUUUUCUAUAAUGUUAGGACCAUGAAGGCAGGAAUUUAUGUAUGUUUGGUUCCCUGCUAUAUCUCCAGUGUCUAGAAAUUGAAGGAAGUUUAGAUGUAUUACAUAUAGUUGGUAUUAUAGCUUAUAUAUUACAUAUGCCUAUAAGUAUUGGUUGAAUAAAUGAAUGAAUGAAUGAAUUCAGAGAGUCCAUGUGUUUAGAAGCAGGCCACACAGCAUCUCAAGGUAGAAAAACCUCUGGAUCAACAGGAUGGCAAAUCUGUGGUAACCAUGCCUGUGUUCCCACUCCUGCACCCAGGGCAGACAUCACUAAUCAAUCCCAGCAUUGUUUCCAAUGAGCAGCACUCAGAGUCCUUGCUCCCCGCUGAAGAUCUGUAUCUAGAGAGGAGCAUGCCAUGGUCCCUGGCAACACCCCUGAUCUCAGCCCUUCCCUGUAACUUCCCACAGCCUCAAUCCUGGUCCUCUGGAUGCUCCAAGGCUCCCAGGCAGCUCUCUACAUCCAGAAGAUUCCAGAGCAGCCUCAAAAGAACCAGGACCUUCUCCUGUCAGUCCAGGGUGUCCCAGACACCUUCCAGGACUUCAACUGGUACCUGGGGGAGGAGACGUACGGAGGCACGAGGCUAUUUACCUACAUCCCUGGGAUACAACGGCCUCAGAGGGAUGGCAGUGCCAUGGGACAGCGAGACAUCGUGGGCUUCCCCAAUGGUUCCAUGCUGCUGCGCCGCGCCCAGCCUACAGACAGUGGCACCUACCAAGUAGCCAUUACCAUCAACUCUGAAUGGACUAUGAAGGCCAAGACUGAGGUCCAGGUAGCUGAUUGAAAAAUGGAGGCACGCAGUGGUUAUGACUUGCUGAGUAAAGAAUACGAACCAGAAUGAUGUGACAUGGGAAAGGAGGUCAUCAGGGAGACCUCACUCAAGAAGUGACCUUAGAGGAGAGACCAGAAGAAGACUGCCUGCUCCGAGGGGCCAGGGAUCUCUGUCCAUCUUGUGCUCGGCUGUAUCCCCAGUGCCUUCAGUGACGCCCAGCACAUGGAUGGCGACCACAGAGAAGCCAGAAUUGGGCCCUGCUCAUGAUGCUGGUGACAACAACAUCUAUGAAGUGAUGCCCUCUCCAGUCCUCCUGGUGUCCCCCAUCAGUGACACAAGGUCCAUAAACCCAGCCCGGCCCCUGCCCACACCCCCACACCUGCAGGCGGAGCCAGAGAACCACCAGUACCAGGACCUGCUAAACCCCGACCCUGCCCCCUACUGCCAGCUGGUGCCAACUUCCUGAUGGGUCCUGGGCCAGGCCAGCCAGGGAGAAGACAAGGCCCCAGCCCUCCUCUGGGAGCCUCACACCUGAGACCAGCAGGACAAGGCCAUUGGGGGCUGUGGGGCCGAUGAGGUGGACUCAGCCAAAGACUCAGCAGCACAUGGGGCAGGUGUCCUGGCAGGGGGACAGGAGACUGUAACAGGCCCAGGUCCUUGUGCAGCCCGUGAAUGCACGCCCGCCUUCGGUCUGUUCCUUCAAGCAAGCUGGCCUGGGCCAUGUGCCUGUGAAAGGCAGGCUCUGGCCCCUUUCCAUGCCAAAGUCCCCCAAGAUCUGGAUAUCUGGGGACAAGAUGGUGGCCUCAGGCCUGCCUCCCAGGCAGUUGGCUGGGCUCCCAACUGUCUGUCCUCAAUGCCCUACCCCAACUCCACUAGUGACCCUCAGAGUCUUCUCCCCUUAGGACAAGGCAGACACCCCACCAUGCGGGCCUCAGGUGGCAGAGAGGCCCAGCCUCACAGGCCUGUGGCCCCACACACCAGUCCCAGCAAGGUGACCACGGCUGCUGGACCCCUUCCCUGUUCAGGCAGGCCCAGCCCCUCUCAGAACCUGCUGCCAGCUGCUGGUCUUGGCCCCCACCCUGAAUCUUACUGAGUCCCUCUGGGCAGCAGCUCCCUUCUCCACCCCACCCCAGCACCCGUCCCAAAUGUGGCCUCAGCUUGUCCUCCCCUUCCCCAAACUAUGCAUUCAUUCAGCAAUAAAUGAGCCUUUGCUGUAUGCCAGACCCAGUUCUAGGCUCUUGCAGCCCUGGUAGAAAGCAAAACAAAAACUCCCGCUUUCCCAGAGGGUCACUUGGCAGGGGAAAGAAUCAGGAAAUAAAAUAAAUAAUGAA
rnacentral:misc_RNA from 1 species